GACGAACGCUGGCGGCGUGCUUAACACAUGCAAGUCGAACGGAAAGGCCCUGCUUUUGUGGGGUGCUCGAGUGGCGAACGGGUGAGUAACACGUGAGUAACCUGCCCUUGACUUUGGGAUAACUUCAGGAAACUGGGGCUAAUACCGGAUAGGAGCUCCUGCUGCAUGGUGGGGGUUGGAAAGUUUCGGCGGUUGGGGAUGGACUCGCGGCUUAUCAGCUUGUUGGUGGGGUAGUGGCUUACCAAGGCUUUGACGGGUAGCCGGCCUGAGAGGGUGACCGGCCACAUUGGGACUGAGAUACGGCCCAGACUCCUACGGGAGGCAGCAGUGGGGAAUAUUGCACAAUGGGCGGAAGCCUGAUGCAGCGACGCCGCGUGCGGGAUGACGGCCUUCGGGUUGUAAACCGCUUUCGCCUGUAACGAAGCGUGAGUGACGGUAAUGGGUAAAGAAGCACCGGCUAACUACGUG
rnacentral:rRNA from 1 species